rnacentral:rRNA from 1 species
CCUACGGGUGGCUGCAGUGGGGAAUCUUGGGCAAUGGGCGCAAGCCUGACCCAGCAACGCCGCGUGAAGGAAGAAGGCUUUCGGGUUGUAAACCUCUUUUAAGAGGGAAGAGCAGAAGACGGUACCUCUUGAUUAAGCCACGGCUAACUACGUCCCAGCAGCGGCGGGAAUACGGAGGUGGCAAGCGUUGUUCGUAUUUACUGGGUGAAAAGGGUGGGUAGCUGGGCUGACAAGUCAGAGGUGAAAUUCCGGGGCUCAACCCCGGACAUGCAUUUGAAACGGUUGGUCUUGAGUAUUGGAGAGGCAGGCGGAAUUCCUAGUGUAGCGGUGAAAUGCGUAGAUAUUAGGAGGAACACCAGUGGCGAAGGCGGCCUGCUGGACUACAACUGACGGUGAGGCGCGAAAGCGUGGGGAGCAAACAGGAUUAGAUACCCGAGUAGUC